GACGAACGCUGGCGGCGUGCCUAAUACAUGCAAGUAGAACGCUGAAGAGAGGAGCUUGCUCUUCUUGGAUGAGUUGCGAACGGGUGAGUAACGCGUAGGUAACCUGCCUUGUAGCGGGGGAUAACUAUUGGAAACGAUAGCUAAUACCGCAUAACAAUGGAUGACACAUGUCAUUUAUUUGAAAGGGGCAAUUGCUCCACUACAAGAUGGACCUGCGUUGUAUUAGCUAGUAGGUGAGGUAAUGGCUCACCUAGGCGACGAUACAUAGCCGACCUGAGAGGGUGAUCGGCCACACUGGGACGGAGACACGGCCCAGACUCCUACGGGAGGCAGCAGUAGGGAAUCGUCGGCAAUGGGGGCAACCCUGACCGAGCAACGCCGCGGGAGUGAAGAAGGUUGUCGGAUCGUAAAGCUCUGUUGUAAGUCAAGAACGGGUGUGAGAGUGGAAAGUUCGCACUGUGACGGUAGCUUACCAGAAAGGGACGGCUAACUACGUG
rnacentral:rRNA from 1 species